rnacentral:rRNA from 1 species
AGAAUCAACGCUGGCGGCGUGCCUAACACAUGCAAGUCGCACGAGAAAGGGACUUCGGUCCUGAGUACAGUGGCGCACGGGUGAGUAACACGUGAAUCAUCUACCUUCGAGUGUGGAAUAACUGAGAGAAAUCUUAGCUAAUACCUCAUAAUACCUACGGGUCAAAGCAGCAAUGCGCUUGAAGAGGAGUUCGCGGCAGAUUAGUUAGUUGGCGGGGUAAUGGCCCACCAAGACGAUGAUCUGUAUCCGGCCUGAGAGGGCGCACGGACACACUGGAACUGAAACACGGUCCAGACUCCUACGGGAGGCAGCAGUGGGGAAUUUUGCGCAAUGGGGGAAACCCUGACGCAGCAACGCCGCGUGGAGGAUGAAAUCCCUUGGGAUGUAAACUCCUUUCGAUAGGGAAGAUAAUGACGGUACCUAUAGAAGAAGCCCGGCUAACUUCGUGCCAGCAGCCGC